UGGGGAAUUUUGCGCAAUGGGCGAAAGCCUGACGCAGCAACGCCGUGUGGAGGAUGAAGGCCUUCGGGUCGUAAACUCCUGCCAGCGGGGACGAAAGCCUGAAAGGGUUUGACUGUACCCGCUGAGGAAGCCACGGCUAACUCCGUGCCAGCAGCCGCGGUAAUACGGAGGUGGCAAGCGUUGUUCGGAAUUACUGGGCGUAAAGGGCGCGUAGGCGGCAAGGCAAGUCAGAUGUGAAAGCCCCGGGCUUAACUCGGGAAUUGCAUCUGAAACUGCUUUGCUUGAGUCCUGGAGGGGGUAGUGGAAUUCCCAGUGUAGCGGUGAAAUGCGUAGAUAUUGGGAGGAACACCGGUGGCGAAGGCGGCUACCUGGACAGUGACUGACGCUGAGGCGCGAAAGCUAGGGGAGCAAACGGGAUUAGAUACCCCGGUAGUCCUAGCUGUAAACGAUGGGCACUUGGUGUU
rnacentral:rRNA from 1 species